UGCAAGUCGAACGAUGAAGCCCUUCGGGGUGGAUUAGUGGCGAACGGGUGAGUAACACGUGGGCAAUCUGCCCUUCACUCUGGGACAAGCCCUGGAAACGGGGUCUAAUACCGGAUAUGACCGUCUUGGGCAUCCUUGACGGUGUAAAGCUCCGGCGGUGAAGGAUGAGCCCGCGGCCUAUCAGCUUGUUGGUGAGGUAAUGGCUCACCAAGGCGACGACGGGUAGCCGGCCUGAGAGGGCGACCGGCCACACUGGGACUGAGACACGGCCCAGACUCCUACGGGAGGCAGCAGUGGGGAAUAUUGCACAAUGGGCGAAAGCCUGAUGCAGCGACGCCGCGUGAGGGAUGACGGCCUUCGGGUUGUAAACCUCUUUCAGCAGGGAAGAAGCGCAAGUGACGGUACCUGCAGAAGAAGCGCCGGCUAACUACGUGCCAGCAGCCGCGGUAAUACGUAGGGCGCAAGCGUUGUCCGGAAUUAUUGGGCGUAAAGAGCUCGUAGGCGGCUUGUCACGUCGAUUGUGAAAGCCCGAGGCUUAACCUCGGGUCUGCAGUCGAUACGGGCUAGCUAGAGUGUGGUAGGGGAGAUCGGAAUUCCUGGUGUAGCGGUGAAAUGCGCAGAUAUCAGGAGGAACACCGGUGGCGAAGGCGGAUCUCUGGGCCAUUACUGACGCUGAGGAGCGAAAGCGUGGGGAGCGAACAGGAUUAGAUACCCUGGUAGUCCACGCCGU
rnacentral:rRNA from 1 species